GAUGUGAACGAAUGUGCAGUAGAUGAUGGCGGCUGCAGUGAUAUCUGUGAGAACACUGACGGCUCGUAUAACUGUGCCUGUCCUGAUGGAUACAACUUGGGAGCCGACCGCAAGACAUGUGAAGACCUGAAUGAGUGUGUGUUAGGCACGGAUGACUGCUCCACACAAGCGGAGUGUAACAACACCAUCGGCGGGUUCACCUGCCACUGUAGGGACGGGUUCGAGGGAGACGGCACUGCUUGUGGUGAUAUAGAUGAGUGUGUGCAGUCAGACGCAGU